rnacentral:misc_RNA from 1 species
CGACGACUUACACCCUUCCUAUUGCCCCUGUAAGAGAGGGCUGUUCCCCCCCCUCCUCCCCCACCACACACACACACAUACACUCAAGUCCCGUCGCUGUCCUUUUUCUUGCACCGCGAAGACGGGCAAGGCUACCAUACGCGCAUAUAUACACGAACAUACAUACGCACGCAUAAGCAGAUGCGGUACUUCGUCGUGGCGCACGAAUUUCAGGCGGAGGAGGACGUGGAAUUGUCCGUCUUCAAAGACGAGAUACUCUGUGCCACGGAGGGCAUCGCUCAGGAUGGCUGGAUAAAGGUCGAAGUAACCAUGGACGCGCGCCGCCGUGGCUUCGUGCCUAUUUCGUACCUCCGCGAAAUCUCUGCCGCGGAGGCAUCAGCUUCGAUGCCGGCACCCGCCUCCUCCGCACCGCCAUCGGCAGGGGAGUCAACGUCCCCCAUGCGCACACCGCAACGCGCUGGAGGAGAGUCUCCAGCGAGGGCAGCUCUUGCCAACACGACAAUAUCCACGUCACUGAACCUGGGAAACUGCAGUGACGUUGUGAAGAAGGGUUCCAGCCCGUCUCUGCAGCCGAUGCGCAGCCCUGAGACAGCCGCUGCGCACGCCGCCCCGACUAGCAGCAGCAUCCAUUUGACCCCCGCUCAGCAAGCUGCCGGUCCGGUCAACCGCCACCUGCUCGAGAACCCCAACGCUGUUGUCGACGCCUUCAUGAAGAAUGAGGUGUACUUCAACCAGCUAAUGCAGCGGCGCGCCUCGGCACUGGCGCAGAUGCAGUCGGGCUUGGAGGAGGCCAUGACAGAGGUUGCGGCGUGCAAGGACCGCAGCGCCGUGCUCACACGAAAGCUGCACGACCUGGAUGGGGUGGUGGAGCGCGAGCGUCAGCGCUGGAUGGACCGGGUGGAGGAGGAAAAGGCGCAUGUGAGCCGCUCAGCCCCCUACAGCGCGCCGUUGGCUGUUCCGGUCAGCUGCGGCACCACACCGGUUCGCUCGCCUAUCAUUGGCCCACGUAGCGGGCUGGGGCGUAGUGUGCUGGACGACGACAGUCCGCGCCAGCUCAGAGCAUAGAAGAGGUGCGAGAGAGGUGGCGCUGUGGUGUUGUGCGCUGCAUUUGAUUCACAUGCACACACACACACACACAGUGCAGGCGCUCACGGGAAGACGAGAGGCGCGUCCACGCCCGUGUGCCGCACGUGCAGCUUUGCAGUGUGCGCAUUGCUAACUGUCUCAGUGGGCCUGCUGCUCCCUGCACGUGCUUGAUUUCCCCACACCGGGUUGACGCCUCAUCAACGUCCAUGGGUGUGUCAUUGGAGUGUGAGCGUGUGCAUUCGUAGAGGUCAUAGAUGCCGGUGAAUGAACCCGCUCUUCUCUGUGCCUCCAUCUCUCUCUCCCUGCGUGAGUCUGUGUGCGUGUGUAGAGAGAGGGAGUGCACAUCGGAGGCUUCUUUGAUGUGUAUCUGUCCUUCACUUCCUCUUUUCCGUUUUCCUUGCUUCUGUUGGCCGCGCCUCCCUCGCCUUCCACAGGGCCUUUGCCCUUAGAUGAGAUUCGCUCUCGACAUAUAUCGCCUUCUUCUCUCACUCCAUCUUUGGCCACCAACCAUCUACCACCACCACCACCACCACCACCGUAAAGGGACAGCUGGAGCUAAGCAGCACGGCAAGCAGCAAGGACAGCUCAAACCCUUGUUCUAAAUAAAGGAGGAGAGGGCAUAGAGAAAGGUGCUUGACCGGCUUGUGUGUACGUUGGCCGUGGCCGAUACAGGUAUUACGCCGUGCAUAUCUCUUUUCGUUUGGCUGUGUGGCCUGCUCGCUUGUUUGGUGGGUGUGCACAGAUGCUUGCUCCCCCCCCUCCUCCCCAGCAUUGCCGCGUCGCCACUUGUGGUUCGCCCAUCUUGCCAGUCCUCAUUGUUUCUUCCCUCCUUCCCUGCUUCUCUCAUGGUCACCUCACGCUCCCUGUUUUUUUUUUGGUUGUACUUUCAG